rnacentral:rRNA from 1 species
GUCUAUGGCCAUACCACCCUGAAUGCGCCCGAUCUCGUCUGAUCUCGGAAGAAACCAACUACUUUGGUUAGCUUUAGGGGCGAGAGAAAUGGGUGUGAAAGGGGAAUACCAGAAGUA